AGUGAACGCUGGCGGCGUGCUUAACACAUGCAAGUCGAACGAGAACGGGUUAUAGCUUGCUAUAAUUAUCAGCUAAGUGGCGCACGGGUGAGUAACGUAUAGGUAAUAUGCCUCUUACUAAGGGAUAACAAAUGGAAACGUUUGCUAAUACCUUAUACUCCUUAUUAACAGAAGUUAAUAAGGGAAAGAUUUAUUGGUAAGAGAUUAGCCUGUAUUGUAUCAGUUAGUUGGUGGGGUAAUGGCUUACCAAGACUAUGACACAUAACUGGUUUGAGAGGAUGAUCAGUCACACUGGAACUGAGACACGGUCCAGAUUCCUACGGGAGGCAGCAGUGGGGAAUAUUGCACAAUGGACGAAAGUCUGAUGCAGCAACGCCGCGUGGAGGAUGACACAUUUCGGUGCGUAACUCCUUUUAUAUGAGAAGAUAAUGACGGUAUUAUAUGAAUAAGCACCGGCUAACUCCGUGCCAGCCGCCGCCGUAA
rnacentral:rRNA from 1 species